rnacentral:rRNA from 1 species
UACGUAGGGUGCGAGCGUUAAUCGGAAUUACUGGGCGUAAAGCGUGCGCAGGCGGCGCGUUAAGACAGGUGUGAAAGCCCCGAGCUUAACUUGGGAAUUGCGCUUGUGACUGGCGUGCUGGAGUGUGGCAGAGGGAGGUGGAAUUCCACGUGUAGCAGUGAAAUGCGUAGAGAUGUGGAGGAACACCGAUGGCGAAGGCAGCCUCCUGGGCCAGCACUGACACUCAUGCACGAAAUCGUCGGGAGCAAACAGG